UAACCAGAAACAGGGAAGAUUUAUUAGUACUAUCCUUUAUCACAUGAAGAUCCUGAUGUUUAAAAGCGUAACUCACUCACAGCCAGGAUGAGAAGAGAAAAACACUUGCUCCUGAAGGUAGAUGGGUAAAACAGAUGUGCUUUUGCUCUUUUCUCCUGCUUGUGAUCUAUGGUUUUAUUAAAAAAUAAUGUCCAACUUUUGGAACGUUUGUAACAACCAGCAAAAAAUACUGAAGCCAAAUAGCAUUUUCCCAUACUAAAGAUAUCCAAGGAUAACAUAAAUAAUUUAUAUCUCCAGACAAUACAAAUUCUAUUCUGCCACUACAUAAUUUUAUUUGAACAAACAAAAUAAUAUGUGUGAAAUUAUCUGCAGUGUCUACUUUCUAUAAGUGAUCAAUAUAUGUUGGUUGAAUCUAAAACUAUUAAACCUAUUUUUUUUCUCUUGAGUUUCUUGUGUCUGUUUUUUGUUUGUUUUUCCUCCAGAAUUCUUCUGUUUUUGGUGUGCUUCAUGACUCACUACUGGAGGCUAUAGCAGAAGCCAGGAAUGGAAGCAGCUUUUGGUGGAACCUAUUCUCAGGAUUAGGACAAGAAAUGGCUUCCAGAGCUAUGUGUAGAACAUUCUCAAUUCCAAGAAAUAUUACUGAAAAUCUAGACAGAAACCUCAGAUUCCAUCAAUGUAUAGCUAAACAAGAUUGAAGAAAAUAAUUGAAUGUGAAGAACUGAAAUCAAUGUCAGAACCUCUAAUGAGCUAUAACCACAGUGAAUUGCUACACCACCUGUUCCAGACAGACAGAUGGAGGCCCUCUGGGGGUCAUGGCUCCCCUUGUAAAGAAAGCUGGAAUCACAUGCAUGCACAAUUUUGACAGAACAAAAAAAGACAAAGGAACUGACACUUAAUAGGAGAUCAUAGUGACUUUGUUAAGAAAUAUCAGCACUCUCAGCUUCUGACUCCCUCUAUUUCCUGUCAUUUUAGGGUUAGGUAGGUGCAUCAUUCCUCAAGCACCUUUCACUAAGAAGAACAAGAAGACAAAUCUGCAUACUCGGAGGCUCUGGCAAGCAUGCAGAUGGAAUAAGCUGAGUAUGUUGGGUAACAGAAAUAAAACACAGAGCUGUAUUAUAUUUGGUUCCGUAAUGCCUAGCAGCAACUUUACAUUCAUAUUAGAUUUGGAUGAUUGACAAUAGACUGAAGUUGGGGGAGGGGAGGAUAGUGAUAUUAAGGAAUAGAUAGAUGGAAAAGAAAGGGGCACAUUAGAUAGAAAUUCCAAUUUUAGGAUAGUGUGUGUGAAUUGUCCUAUAAGGAGAUUCUUUGGAAGGUAUACUUAAAGAAGAAAAUAGUUAAUUGUUGUUCAUUAAAAAUAUGGUCUGUAAUUUUAGUAA